rnacentral:rRNA from 1 species
UGAACCAGUACCGUGAGGGAAAGGCGAAAAGAACCCCGGCGAGGGGAGUGAAAAAGAACCUGAAACCGUGUACGUACAAGCAGUGGGAGCCUCUUUAUGGGGUGACUGCGUACCUUUUGUAUAAUGGGUCAGCGACUUAUAUUCUGUAGCAAGGUUAACCGAAUAGGGGAGCCGAAGGGAAACCGAGUCUUAACUGGGCGUUAAGUUGCAGGGUAUAGACCCGAAACCCGGUGAUCUAGCCAUGGGCAGGUUGAAGGUUGGGUAACACUAACUGGAGGACCGAACCGACUAAUGUUGAAAAAUUAGCGGAUGACUUGUGGCUGGGGGUGAAAGGCCAAUCAAACCGGGAGAUAGCUGGUUCUCCCCGAAAGCUAUUUAGGUAGCGCCUCGUGAAUUCAUCUCCGGGGGUAGAGCACUGUUUCGGCAAGGGGGUCAUCCCGACUUACCAACCCGAUGCAAACUGCGAAUACCGGAGAAUGUUAUCACGGGAGACACACGGCGGGUGCUAACGUCCGUCGUGAAGAGGGAAACAACCCAGACCGCCAGCUAAGGUCCCAAAGUCAUGGUUAAGUGGGAAACGAUGUGGGAAGGCCCAGACAGCCAGGAUGUUGGCUUAGAAGCAGCCAUCAUUUAAAGAAAGCGUAAUAGCUCACUGGUCGAGUCGGCCUGCGCGGAAGAUGUAACGGGGCUAAACCAUGCACCGAAGCUGCGGCAGCGACGCUUAUGCGUUGUUGGGUAGGGGAGCGUUCUGUAAGCCUGCGAAGGUGUACUGUGAGGUAUGCUGGAGGUAUCAGAAGUGCGAAUGCUGACAUAAGUAACGAUAAAGCGGGUGAAAAGCCCGCUCGCCGGAAGACCAAGGGUUCCUGUCCAACGUUAAUCGGGGCAGGGUGAGUCGACCCCUAAGGCGAGGCCGAAAGGCGUAGUCGAUGGGAAACAGGUUAAUAUUCCUGUACUUGGUGUUACUGCGAAGGGGGGACGGAGAAGGCUAUGUUGGCCGGGCGACGGUUGUCCCGGUUUAAGCGUGUAGGCUGGUUUUCCAGGCAAAUCCGGAAAAUCAAGGCUGAGGCGUGAUGACGAGGCACUACGGUGCUGAAGCAACAAAUGCCCUGCUUCCAGGAAAAGCCUCUAAGCAUCAGGUAACAUCAAAUCGUACCCCAAACCGACACAGGUGGUCAGGUAGAGAAUACCAAGGCGCUUGAGAGAACUCGGGUGAAGGAACUAGGCAAAAUGGUGCCGUAACUUCGGGAGAAGGCACGCUGAUAUGUAGGUGAAGUCCCUUGCGGAUGGAGCUGAAAUCAGUCGAAGAUACCAGCUGGCUGCAACUGUUUAUUAAAAACACAGCACUGUGCAAACACGAAAGUGGACGUAUACGGUGUGACGCCUGCCCGGUGCCGGAAGGUUAAUUGAUGGGGUUAGCGGUAACGCGAAGCUCUUGAUCGAAGCCCCGGUAAACGGCGGCCGUAACUAUAACGGUCCUAAGGUAGCGAAAUUCCUUGUCGGGUAAGUUCCGACCUGCACGAAUGGCGUAAUGAUGGCCAGGCUGUCUCCACCCGAGACUCAGUGAAAUUGAACUCGCUGUGAAGAUGCAGUGUACCCGCGGCAAGACGGAAAGACCCCGUGAACCUUUACUAUAGCUUGACACUGAACAUUGAGCCUUGAUGUGUAGGAUAGGUGGGAGGCUUUGAAGUGUGGACGCCAGUCUGCAUGGAGCCGACCUUGAAAUACCACCCUUUAAUGUUUGAUGUUCUAACGUUGGCCCCUAAUCGGGGUUGCGGACAGUGUCUGGUGGGUAGUUUGACUGGGGCGGUCUCCUCCUAAAGAGUAACGGAGGAGCACGAAGGUUGGCUAAUCCUGGUCGGACAUCAGGAGGUUAGUGCAAUGGCAUAAGCCAGCUUGACUGCGAGCGUGACGGCGCGAGCAGGUGCGAAAGCAGGUCAUAGUGAUCCGGUGGUUCUGAAUGGAAGGGCCAUCGCUCAACGGAUAAAAGGUACUCCGGGGAUAACAGGCUGAUACCGCCCAAGAGUUCAUAUCGACGGCGGUGUUUGGCACCUCGAUGUCGGCUCAUCACAUCCUGGGGCUGAAGUAGGUCCCAAGGGUAUGGCUGUUCGCCAUUUAAAGUGGUACGCGAGCUGGGUUUAGAACGUCGUGAGACAGUUCGGUCCCUAUCUGCCGUGGGCGCUGGAGAACUGAGGGGGGCUGCUCCUAGUACGAGAGGACCGGAGUGGACGCAUCACUGGUGUUCGGGUUGUCAUGCCAAUGGCACUGCCCGGUAGCUAAAUGCGGAAGAGAUAAGUGCUGAAAGCAUCUAAGCACGAAACUUGCCCCGAGAUGAGUUCUCCCUGACUCCCUGAGAGUCCUGAAGGAACGUUGAAGACGACGACGUUGAUAGGCCGGGUGUGUAAGCGCAGCGAUGCGUUGAGCUAACCGGUACUAAUGAACCGUGAGGCUUAACCUU